AGCGAACGCUGGCGGCAGGCUUAACACAUGCAAGUCGAGCGGGCGUAGCAAUACGUCAGCGGCAGACGGGUGAGUAACGCGUGGGAACAUACCUUUUGGUUCGGAACAACACAGGGAAACUUGUGCUAAUACCGGAUAAGCCCUUACGGGGAAAGAUUUAUCGCCGAAAGAUUGGCCCGCGUCUGAUUAGCUAGUUGGUGAGGUAACGGCUCACCAAGGCGACGAUCAGUAGCUGGUCGAGAGGAUGAUCAGCCACAUUGGGACUGAGACACGGCCCAAACUCCUACGGGAGGCAGCAGUGGGGAAUAUUGGACAAUGGGCGCAAGCCUGAUCCAGCCAUGCCGCGUGAGUGAUGAAGGCCCUAGGGUUGUAAAGCUCUUUUGUGCGGGAAGAUAAUGACGGUACCG
rnacentral:rRNA from 1 species